rnacentral:rRNA from 1 species
AUACGUAGGUGGCAAGCGUUGUCCGGAUUUACUGGGCGUAAAGAGUAUGUAGGCGGAUAUUUAAGUCAGAUGUGAAAUUCCCGGGCUUAACCUGGGAGCUGCAUUUGAUACUGGAUAUCUAGAGUGCGGGAGAGGAAAGUGGAAUUCCUAGUGUAGCGGUGAAAUGCGUAGAGAUUAGGAAGAACACCAGUGGCGAAGGCGACUUACUGGACUGAAACUGACGCUGAGGCUCGAAAGCGUGGGGAGC